rnacentral:misc_RNA from 1 species
UCCGGUUUGACACCGGCAGUCUGAAUAGACAUAUACAACUAUUCACGAGGGUUGCGCUCGUUGAAGGACUUAACCUGACAUCUCACGACACGAGCUGACGACGGCCAUGCAUCACCUGUCACUAGGUUCCUUGCGGCACAGCCCUAUUUCUAGGGCUUUCCUAGGAUGUCAAACCUUGGUAAGGUUCUUCGCGUAGCCUCGAAUUAAACCACACGCUCCACCGCUUGUGCGGGUCCCCGUCAAUUCCUUUGAGUUUUAGCCUUGCGGCCGUACUCCCCAGGCGGGAUGCUUAACGCGUUAGCUUCGCUACUGAAAGGGUCGAUUCUUCCAACAGCUAGCAUCCAUCGUUUACGGCGUGGACUAC